UGUGAACGUUACCAAACUGUUGCCUCGGCGGGAUCUCUGCCCCGGGUGCGUCGCAGCCCCGGACCAAGGCGCCCGCCGGAGGACCAACCUAAAACUCUUAUUGUAUACCCCCUCGCGGGUUUUUUUUAUAAUCUGAGCCUUCUCGGCGCCUCUCGUAGGCGUUUCGAAAAUGAAUCAAAACUUUCAACAACGGAUCUCUUGGUUCUGGCAUCGAUGAAGAACGCAGCGAAAUGCGAUAAGUAAUGUGAAUUGCAGAAUUCAGUGAAUCAUCGAAUCUUUGAACGCACAUUGCGCCCGCCAGUAUUCUGGCGGGCAUGCCUGUCCGAGCGUCAUUUCAACCCUCGAACCCCUCCGGGGGGUCGGCGUUGGGGAUCGGCCCUCCCUUAGCGGGUGGCCGUCUCCGAAAUACAGUGGCGGUCUCGCCGCAGCCUCUCCUGCGCAGUAGUUUGCACACUCGCAUCGGGAGCGCGGCGCGUCCACAGCCGUUAAACACCCAACUUCUGAAAUGUUGACCUCGGAUCAGGUAGGAAUACCCGCUGAACUUAAGCAUAU
rnacentral:rRNA from 1 species